rnacentral:rRNA from 1 species
GACGAACGCUGGCGGCGUGCCUAAUACAUGCAAGUAGAACGCUGAAGAGAGGUGCUUGUUCUUAUUGGAUGAGUUGCGAACGGGUGAGUAACGCGUAGGUAACCUGCCUUGUAGCGGGGGAUAACUAUUGGAAACGAUAGCUAAUACCGCAUAACAAUGGAUGACACAUGUCAUUUAUUUGAAAGGGGCAAUUGCUUCACUACAAGAUGGACCUGCGUUGUAUUAGCUAGUUGGUGAGGUAAAGGCUCACCAAGGCGACGAUACAUAGCCGACCUGAGAGGGUGAUCGGCCACACUGGGACUGAGACACGGCCCAGACUCCUACGGGAGGCAGCAGUAGGGAAUCUUCGGCAAUGGGGGCAAGCCUGACCGAGCAACGCCGCGUGAGUGAAGAAGGUUUUCGGAUCGUAAAGCUCUGUUGUAAGUCAAGAACGGGUGUGAGAGUGGAAAGUUCACACUGUGACGGUAGCUUACCAGAAAGGGACGGCUAACUACGUG